rnacentral:rRNA from 1 species
GGUUGUCGUCAGCUCGUGUCGUGAGAUGUUGGUUAAGUCCCGCAACGAGCGCAACCCUUGUGUUUAGUUGCAAACAAGGUCAAGCUGUGCACUCUAGACAGACUGCCGUGGACAACACGGAGGAAGGUGGGGAUGACGUCAAAUCAUCAUGCCCCUUAUGAUCUGGGCUACACACGUGCUACAAUGGCCGGUACAACGGGCAGCGAAGGAGCGAUCCGGAGCGAAUCCUAAAAAGCCGGUCCCAGUUCGGAUUGCAGGCUGAAACUCGCCUACAUGAAGUUGGAGUUGCUAGUAAUCGCGAAUCAGAAUGUCGCGGUGAAUGCGUUCCCGGGUCUU